UACUCCUAGACCAUGGUUGACCACAGGUGAUUGAAACUGUGGAAAGCAAAACUGCGGGCAAAGUGGGGACUACUGUAUUUAAGCUGAUGACUACCACAUUCAUAUCUUCAAUCUGGACCUGUCUGCUUCAUCACCAUCUCCACCUGGAUAAAUAAUAGAGCUUCAAGCUGGCCUAAACAAGCGCAAAUCAGACUUUCGAAGGUUGGAAGAUGGAAAAGAGAGCUCCAAGAUACAGAGCCGGCCAGAAGAGUCUCUCCAUCUGGAGCUCAGAAUUCUCAGAGUUGUGUGCAGGCCCAGAUAAGCAACUAGGAGGCUACUCCAUGGAUAGGUCAGCGGAUAUACAACAGGUUGUCUACCUUCACCUGUCUGGAAGGCAGCAGUGUCAUAGGACAGGCCAGAGACACAGAAAGGGAAGGCCAGGCAGGAUCUGGGCUCCGGAACAAAAGAUUGGUGGCCAGGAGGGUGGUAUUUGGUGUCAUCGUGAAUAAAUGUCUCAUGGAGCUUAA